rnacentral:rRNA from 1 species
AACGAACGCUGGCGGCAUGCCUAACACAUGCAAGUCGAACGAGACCUUCGGGUCUAGUGGCGCACGGGUGCGUAACGCGUGGGAACCUGCCCUUAGGUUCGGAAUAACUCCCCGAAAGGGGUGCUAAUACCGGAUAAUGUCUUCGGACCAAAGAUUUAUCGCCUUUGGAUGGGCCCGCGUUGGAUUAGCUAGUUGGUAGGGUAAAAGCCUACCAAGGCGACGAUCCAUAGCUGGUCUGAGAGGAUGAUCAGCCACACUGGGACUGAGACACGGCCCAGACUGCAUGGGGGGGGAGGGGGUGAGAAAAUGGGGACAAGGGGAGAAAGAUCGACAAGGAGGGGCCGGGUGGGGGAGUGGGCACUGGGGUUUGUAAACUUUUGUUACGGGGGAAAAAAAAGACGGGACGGAGGGAAUUAGCCCCGGACACACCGUUGCAGGCACGCGAGGAAAUACUCGGAAAGCACAGGUCCGAAC